rnacentral:lncRNA from 1 species
AGUUAAUGCCGUCACACUUCACAUCAUAGAACAAGGCCUGCCCAGCAAGAAAAGACAUAAAAGUACGUUGUUCUUGUUGAUAUUGUUGUUGUUUUGUUUAUUGUUGUUGUCGUCGUUGUUGUUGUUGUUGAUGCAGUUUGUCCAUCCAUCACUGGUAUCAAUCGCUGUUUUUGUUACAAUUAUAUUGAUUCGCAUAUUCCUUUUGAAUCAGUUGCUGAUUAUUUCAUUAGUUGUUGUUGUUGUUGUUGUUGUUGUUGUUGUUGAUGAUGAUGAUGAUGAUGAUGAUGAUGAUGAUGAUGAUGAUGAUGAUGAUGAUGAUGACGACGACGAUGAUGAUGAUGAUUGUGGUGGUGGUGAUGCCGGCAACAGCGGGUGUUGUAGUCUUGAUAGUAAUGGUGGCGUUAUCCAUUAUUGCUGUUAUAUAUUUCAAAAUGAUGACAACGACGUUGUUACUGUUGUUGUUGUUGUUGUUGUUUAUAACUCCUGUGAUAUAUUUGAUAAUGAUGGCGUUGAUGUUUGAUAAUGGCAAUGAUGUUACAGUUGUUGUCGUCACUCUUUGUUAUAUAUUUGAUAAUAAUGACGUUGAUAUUUGAUAUUGUCGAUGAUGUCGUAACUUUUUUCUGUUCCUGUUUGUCGUUGCUAUUGUUGUUACUCUCCUGUUAUACAUUUGAUGUCGUUGAUUGUUGGUCGCUGUUGCUAAUGUAGUAAUAUUUAUUCGAUAAUGGUGAUGCUGUUGUUGUUGUUGUUGUUGUUGUUGUGUUAUUGUUUGUUACUGCUACUUUAUGUAUUUGAUAACGAUGGUGUUUUCUUGCUAUUGUUGUGGUUGUUGUUGUUGUUGUUGUUGUUGUUGUUAUUGUUGUUAUGAAUUUGAUAAAGACAAUGUUUUUGUUCUUGCUGUUACUGUUGUCGUUGCGUUUGUGAAAUCGUGACAAACGAAUUUAAAGACUGAAUAUCAAAUUUGAGAUACAAACAUGGCUUUUUAUGUUAGCGUAUAUAUGUGUGUUUGUGUCCGUGCGUAUGUGUGUGUGCGUGCGUGCGUGCAUGCACAUGUGUGUGUGUGUGUUAAAAUGGUUGUAAAAUGAUGCAAUGGUGUGUUUAUAAUACUGUUUGUAAUGUAGCGUUCUGUUGUCUAAUGCUUGGGUACUCCGUCGGUUUAGACGACGAGCAUUCAAUAAUUCGAGUAACUGAACGUCCAGGUCGUUAGAUCAACUGGCUGGCCAUUGCUGAGUAUUGCUCAAAUACAUGGCUGAAUAUUCCACGGAUACAUGUACGCGUCACUUAAUUAAGUGUGACACGCUAUGGGGCAGAACUGGAUCUUUGAACUACGAGUACGAGCACAGCCCACCCAACCGGCUCUCAUACAUUUUCUGUCCAAUUUUCCUCAGAUGGAUUUUGUUGAGACAAGACUAAAAUAAGAAAUACUUACCCAAAGGACCACGCAGUUGGGUCGACAAGAGAUUACACGAUUACAAAACGAGUUUCUUAACCGCUCAGCCACGCUAGCGUAUUGUAGUAUAUCUUUUAUCUUUUUUAUUUCUGUCAUUAGACUGCGACCAUGCUGAGGUGCCACUUUCAAGAAUUUUAGCCGAACGAAUCGUCCCCAAUUCUUAUUUUAAUUUUAAGCCUGGUACUUAUUCUAUCGGUCUCUUUUCCCCCCGAACACCUAAGUUACGGUUGUCAAGCGGUGGUGGGGAACAAGUACAGACAGAAACCACACACACGCAUAUAUACGUAUGCAUGUAUGUAUGUUUAUAUAUAUAUGUAUAUAUAUAUAUAUAUAUAUAUAUAUAUAUAUAUAUAUAUAUAUAUAUAUAUAUAUAUAUAUAUAUAUAUAUAUAUAUAUAUAUAUAUAUAUAUAUAUAUAUAUAUAUAUAUAUAUAUAUAUAUAUAUAUAUAUAUAUAUAUACAAUAUAUAUACGAUAACUUCUUUCACUUUCCGUCGAACUAAAUCUACUCACAAGGCUUUGGACGGUCCGAGGCUAUAGCAGCAGACACUUGCCCAAGGUGCUACGCUAAAUGGGAUUGAACCCGGUACCAUGUGGUUGGGAAGCAAACUUCUUGCCACACAGAUCGUAUCAUUGCAUAGUCUAUACCAUAGCACGGGACAUGAUAGUAUAAGGUUGUAAAUGAUGGUACUGUGUUGCAUAGAGUAGUGUAGUAUAAUAGAGGAUAGGGUAGUAUAUUGAAUUAACUAUAGAAUAGUGAUACUAAUAGAACAGUAUGGUAUGAGAAAGCAUUUUUGCAAUGACUAUGCUUUCGUUUUAGUCGGAGUACUUUAUCUAAUGUGUCUUUAGCUAAAGAUAAUAUGGUCUGAUUUUAGGUAGUUUUGGUUGCUAUUUUAGCAAGUCUAGUGACCACUUAAAGGUACUAUUGUUGGCUUCUGUUGAAUAUAUAUAUAUAUAUAUAUAUAUAUAUAAACAAGAAAAAUGGAGUUUGCAAUAACUCUAAGGCGGCGAGCUGGCAGAAUCGUAAGUUAGCCGGAUGAAAUGCUUAGCGACAUUUCGUCCGUCUCGUCAUAUUCCGCUGAGGCAGAUUUUGCCUUUCAUCCUUUCGGGGAUCGAUAAAAUAAGUACCAGUUGAGCACUGUCGCUGAUGUAAUCGACUUGCACCCUCACCCGAAAUUACUGGGUUUGUGCCAAAAUUUGAAUAACACGGAUAUUCAGAUGUACUUUCAGUGAAACGAUCAAUUUUCGCUGUACUAGCUUUCUAAAGCAAACUACAAGGUUAAUAUCUUAAUUGAGUAUAUAUAUAUAUAUAUAUAUAUAUAUAUAUAUAUAUAUAUAUAUGUGUGUGUGUGUGUGUGUGUGUGUGUGUGUGUGUGUGUGUGUGUGUGUAUGUGUGUGUGUAUAUAUACAUAUAUAUAUGUAUAUAUAUAUAUAUAUAAUAAGUAUAUAUAUAUAUAUAUAUAUAUAUAUAUAUAUAUGUGUGUGUGUGUAUAUAUAUAUAUAUAUAUAUAUAUAUAUAUAUAGAAUAUAUAAAUAUAUGCGUAUAUACAUAUAUGUACAUACCUACAUCUAUAUGUAUAUAUACAUGCAUGUAUGGGUACAGGACAUCAGAAAAAAGCGUUGAACACAAUGAGAAACGAAAACACAAAAACAAAAACAUGGAAACGAACUUUUUUUUUUCAAACAACGAAAAAAGACAUACAACACAAGGAAUAUUCCCCUUCAGUUGUCCCUGCUUCGUCUUCUCCGCGUUUAUAUAUAUAUAUAUAUAUAUAUAUAUAUAUAUAUAUAUAUAUAUAUAUAUAAAAGGACAUCUGGUAACUUGGCUGGCAAAAAAAGCCCACGAAUGACCCGUCCUUUUUUUCUGUCUCUCUAAUUGUUGUUUUUCCUGUGCGCCUUUUUAUCGUCUGUCUGUCCGGAUGUUUUAUUGUCCUCUAUUGCGUUUUUCCUCCAUUUUAUGUGUGUGUGUGUGUGUGUGUUUUCAAUUAUACACAUGUACGUACGUAUAUAUACAUGUAUGUAUAUGUAUUGAGGUCGAUGUAAUAAACUUCCCCACUUCCGUGAACGAGCUGGCCUUGUGCCAAAAUCUGAAAUGAAUAUUUUGGCAUACUUUAUUGAGCUAGCAUCAUAUGUGUGUUUAUGUCAUCAGUAUUAUAAGUUGCUAGUGUUUAGCCUCAAGUCAGCCUAAAUCCAGCAGAGAGGAAAACCUACGAUCAAAAGCGUUCCAGUGACGACCAUCUCGUUUUUUUUUUUUUUAAUUCAGCCUUAGUGUAUUAAUGACGAUAUUGCACAGUGUGUUCUGUAUUGCAGUAGGGUAUGAUGUACGAGAAACUUUUGCUGCUGUUUUAUAUCAAGUCGAAUGACUACGUAGAUACUACCUAGUUGGCGAGUGUUUAUUGUUGUUGUCAUAGUAAUUGUCGAUAUAUAUCAGUUUCGGAGCUUUCUAAUAUGCCUCAGAUCUGCCAGGUUACCACUCUAAAUGUCACCGAAAUGAGCAGAAACAGAUUCAAUGCAUACAGUCCAUGUAGUGUUUCAAACCGUCUUAUGACUUCAUACAUCUCUAUCUCUAUAUAUAUAAAGCUGAAGUUGUCUGUGUAUGGCAGGUUUGGUAGCCUUCAACUAAGUUGACCAAAAUUGAGAGUAUGAUGGAAGAAGGCUUGCUCUUCCUUCCGUAGAAGACAAAAUUCAAAUCGGGCCAUGUUAACACCAAAAAUAAUUUACAUCAAAAAGGUGCUAUUUUUCUAUGAAAAUCCCUAUUUUUUACGAUUUUUUUACUGCUGUGUCACCAUUUUUCGGUGUAUUUCAACCAGAAAAAUGUUCACUUAAAGAGAAUAACAAGCUACAUAAUGGAAAAUUUUUACUUUUCAAAAAUUCCUAUUCUAAAGGGUCGAAACGAACCCGAGCAACGCCGGGUGAUACUGCUAGCUUUAAUGAAAUACCAAAGAGAACGAAAGCUUUUGUGCUAAAACAUUGCACCAAGUAAACAUUACACUUAUAUAUCAUGCAUAAAUUAAAUUUCACUUUAAAACUACUAAACACAGAAGGGAAGAAAAGAGACUCGGUUUACAAAUCCACUUGAAGACGUGCUGUUCUGCUACUUGAUCUUCGACACCAAGAAAUUGCCAUCACAACACCGUGCAUUUGAGUAUCUGGCAGCUUGGAACUAUUAUUCUUUUGUGCUCUGUUGCAUCAUUUAUUUCUUCAAUCGAUUUAGUCGAGUGUAGGUGUCCAAAGCUGAGGACUCUAUCUCAACAAAACUAUCAUCGAUUACACGGUUACUUCUUUACAUGCCGUAGCAAUAAGCUACACUACACCUCACUACAUAGUACAUAAUUUAGCUAUUUCUUUACUAUCCACAAGGGGUUAAACACAGGGAGGACAAACAAGGACAGACAAACGGAUUAAGUCGAUUGUAUCGACCCCAGUGCGUAACUGGUACUUAUUUAAUCGACCCCGAAAAGAUGAAAGGCAAAGUCGACCUUGGUGGUGGUGGUGGUGGUGGUGGUGGUGGCGGUGGUGGUGGCGGUGGUGGUGGCGGUGGUGGUGGCAGUGGUGGCGGUGGUGGUGGUGCCCGCGUUUAGCUGGAGUCCGAUCUUGAUAGAGCAAAACUGUGACUGAAAACAUUCCAACCAUAUCACGUCUUGCUUAGCAUAGUGGAUAGUUUGAUUUGAGGGAGAUUUGGCUGCAGUUACUGGACGGUCGAGCGAGCCCGUAUAAGUUUUUUCACUUAGUCUCUCUUUCCCUCUCUUGUUGCUUUGUCACUAAUUUUUAAGCCUGUUAUUGUGCUUCUUUUUCUAUAUUACUAUUCCUAUAACGCAAACAUAGCCAAGUUGUUUAGAAGUUUCCUUUGCAAUCAUGAGGUUCAGGUUCUAUCCUACUGGGGCAAGUGUCUUUUAUCAAAGCUUUUGUUCAACCCAAACCUUCACACCUGUAAUUUGAAAAAGCCGUCUUCCUUACAAAUUAUAUCACACUGGUUCUACUUGGGAGUACAUUAACAGUGCAUAUAAAAACACAAAUGCAUACAUACAUACGUACGUACAUACAUACAUACAUACAUACAUACAUACAUACAUACAUACAUACAUACAUACAUACAUGCAUUACAUACACACACAUAACGCUGAACUAUUGAGAAAUUUACAGCUACUCUACUCGGAUUACAAGUUCAGGUUUAUACCUGUAAUUAUUGGAGCACUAGGAUAUGUAACAAAUUACCUAAGCAUCAAUCUUGAGCAAUUAAGCUUCUCAAAACCAGAAAAGAAGCUAAUUAAAAAAUUAGAUACCAUAAAUCCUCGAGUAUAAUACGCAGGGGAUUUUUAGGGAGCUGUACCUCUGAAAACCCUAAACCUUGUGUAUGAUACGCACCCCUUCUCUAACUUGAGUCAAGGAGGUCUAUAUAACGUCCUUUGUUUGUAAAACUGUAUACGGUAACGUCCUUUAUUAUUAUUGUAUAUAUAACAUAAUGCAAACGUGUAGCUUUUUUGUGCAUUUUGUUUGCAGAAAAUAAAGAAAUAACAGUAAUAACGUUUAAUAAAUGUUGCUUACUGCAAGUUAUGGAUGAUUCUUUUAUGACUUCAUUGCUUUCAGGCUUAGCUUAAGGUAUUUUCGCGCCCGAUGUCACAAAAUGCGUCUGAAUAAACAUUGCAAAUAGAAACUCGGACAUUGCUUAGAAAAUAAAUUUUCAUUUUUUAACCUCGUAUAUAGUACGCACAAGGGAUUUUGACCUUUAAAUUUUGGGGGAAAAAUUCGGAUUAUAUUAGAUGAUUUACGGUACAUAAAACAAAGCAUAAGAAUCUGCACAUGCACUGACUCCAAAUACUGCAUAUAUACACACAUACAUGCAAAAAUUCCCUUUGAUGUUGUUGAAAUUCCAAGAAGGAUCCUUGGAUCUAAGUUUAGAAACCGGCUCUUUCUCUAUUGGCUAGAAAUCUUGAACUAAAACUGAAUAAUAACAUACCUACCUACCUACAUACAUACAUAUACGACGGGCUUCCACACAGUUUCCAUCUACCAGAUUCAUUCACAACGCAUUGGUUGGCCCGGGACUGUAGCAGAAAACAUUUGCCCAAGGUUUCACACGGUGGGACUGAACCCGAAACCACAUGUUGGCAAAGCAAGCUUCUUAACCACCUACCCAGCUAUGUUUCAACAUCCUGCAUAGCAUGUCUCCGUUUUAUUAUUAUUUUCUUUUAAACGACAGUGUAGUUUGAGGAAGAUUUAGGCUGGUAUUUCUAGCUGGUCGAUCAACCACAUAUAUCUCCCUCCCAACUCCCGUGUUUAAAGUCGUCGGGGAGCGGAGUUGAUUUUGUUUGUUUUUAUUGCCUUUACUACUUUAUUUUUUGUUAUUGUUAUUCUCAUCGAGCUGUUGUCGCUAAUAAAGCUGUUUUAAAGCUAAGGCUAUUGUUGAUAUUGUUAUUGUUGCUGUCAUCGUUGUUGCUGUUAUGGUUCCUGCCGUUGCUGAUAAGGUGGUUUUUGUUGAUAUUACCGACAUUAUUGUGUAUCAUCUUGUUCUAUAAUAUUCAUUAUUGUCGUUCUAGUUGUUAUUGUUACUGGUAGUCUUGUGGUUAUGCAUAGUGUUGAUGUUCUCAUCGUUGUUUUCAUUGUUGCUGUUGUUGUUGUUGUUGGUGGUGGUGGUGGUGGUGGUUGUCGUGUCGGCGGCGGCAUUAGUGGCAGUGAUGGUCGUGGUGGUGGUGGUGGUUGUGUCGGCGGCGGCGACAUUAGUGGUUGUAAUGGUGGUUGUGGUGGUGGUGGUAGUGGUGUUGUUGUUGUUGGUGGUGGUGGUGGUGGUGGUUGUGGUGGUUGUGUCGGCGACGGCGGCAUUAGUGGUGGUGGUGGUAGUGAUGGUGGUGGUGGUGGUGGUGGUGGUGGUGGUGGUAAUGGUUGUCGUGUCGGCGACGGCGGCAUUAGUGGUACUGAUGGUGGUGGUGGUGGUGGUUGUGUCGGCGGCGGCGUUAGUUGUAGUGAUGGUGAUGGUGGUGGUGGUGGUGAUGUUGUUUUUCUUAUUGUUGUAGUUAUCGGUAUUCGUGCUUUGUUGUUGCAGCUGCUGGUCCUCUUC